UGUUCGCUUUUAAAAAAACGUGAGUUCUUAUAUUUUAGAAUAUAUCCAUUUUUUUGACAGGAUGUUAUUUUGCCAGACAAUGACUGUAUAUCGUAUAAAGCCGUGAUAAUUAUAUUCGUAACUACGUAUGAACAUUUACUGAAAUAUUUCGAUAUUUACUUUUUGAAAUACCUACGUAAUUGUUUUUUUUUUUUUAUUUAAGAAUUUAUACAUUAUAAUAAACGUGUUUAAUGAGCACAAAAUGGCAACACCGACUGGUAUUCAUUCAAAUUGGCUACGGCACUAAAAAAAUGUAGUUAAAAUGUUAAUUUAGUAAUUUAAUUUUAAUAUUUUAAGUUGUAAUAUUUAAGUAAUAAAUGGAAAUAAAUGUUAAACAUAACAUAAUUAGAAAUUUAAAUAAAAAAAAAAAAAAAAAAAAAAAACA
rnacentral:misc_RNA from 1 species